GGACCCCCCUGAGACCAUCAAGGCCCCCCCUGUCCUGGUCAUUGAGGGCCUGCACCCUCUCUACGACGAGCGCGUGCGCGAACUCCUCGAUCUGUCCAUCUACCUGGACAUCUCCGAGGAGGUGAAGUUCGCCUGGAAGAUCCAGCG
rnacentral:SRP_RNA from 1 species